rnacentral:rRNA from 1 species
UACGUAGGGGGCUAGCGUUAUCCGGAAUUAUUGGGCGUAAAGGGUGCGUAGGCGGUCCUAUAAGUCAGAGGUGAAAGGCUACGGCUCAACCGUAGUAAGCCUUUGAAACUGUAGGACUUGAGUGCAGGAGAGGAGAGUGGAAUUCCCAGUGUAGCGGUGAAAUGCGUAGAUAUUGGGAGGAACACCAGUUGCGAAGGCGGCUCUCUGGACUGUAACUGACGCUGAGGCACGAAAGCGUGGGGAGCAAACGGG